UACGAAUGGAGCAAGCGUUGUUCGGAAUUACUGGGCUUAAAGCGUGCGCAGGCGGACUUGAAAGUCAGAAGUGAAAGCCCCGGGCUCAACCCGGGAAUUGCUUUUGAAACUCCAAGUCUAGAAUCCGGUAGAGGUCAGGAGAAUUCCUAGUGUAGAGGUGAAAUUCGCAGAUAUUAGGAGGAAUACCAGUGGCGUAGGCGCCUGACUGGGCCGGUAUUGACGCUCAGGCACGCAAGCGUGGGGAUCAAACAGG
rnacentral:rRNA from 1 species